ensembl:lncRNA
GCUCUCCCUUUCCUCCCUCCUCUGCUCCGCCGCUGCCGCUCGGCAGCGGGAUGGAGAGAAUCCGUUCGGCACGGACACACGGACGGACGGACGGACGGACGGACACACGGACACAUGGACAGACACACGGACACACGGACACACGGACACACGGACGGACACACGGACACACGGACACACGGACAGACACACGGACACACGGACGGACGGACACACGGACACACGGACAGAUACAGGGACCGACACACGGACAGACACACGGACAGACACGGACACACGGUCAGACACACAGAGACAUGGACAGAGAUGCGGACAGACAGACACACAGGACGGACACACGGACACACGGUCAGACACACGGACACAAGGACAGACACAUGGACACACGGACGGACACAUGGACAGACACGCGGACGGACACACGGACAGACACACGGACAGACAUACGGACAGACACACGGACACAUGGACAGACACACAGACACAUGGACAGACACAGGGACAGACAGACACGGACACACGGACAGAUACAGGGACAGACACACGGACCGACACAUGGACACAAGGACAGAGACACAGACAGACACACGGACGGACACACGGACAGACAGACUGACAGACACACGGACACACGGAUACACGGACAGACACAGGGACAGACAGACGGACAGACACAGGGACAGACGGACAGACACACGGACACAUGGACAGACACAUGGACAGACACAUGGACAGACACAUGGACAGACAUGGACACACAGACAGACACACAGGACGGACACAUGGACACACGGACAGACACACAGACAGACACAUGGACAGACACAUGGACAGACGGACAGACACAGGAACAGAUGGACAGAGACACAGGGACAGACACACAGACACACGGACGGAGACACGGAGAGACACAUGGACACACGGACAGACACACGGACACAAGGACAGACGCAUGGACACACAGACACAUGGACAAACACACGGAGAGACAGACGGACACACGGACGGACACACGGACAUACAGACACAUGGACAGACACACACAGACAUACAGACACAUGGACACACGGACACAUGGACAGACACACAGACACACACACGGACAGACACACACAGACACACGGAUACACACACACUGUCACACAGAGAGACACACGGACACAUGGACAGAGACACACAGACACGCACACACGGACACACAGAUAGACAGAUGGACACACGGACACAGAGACAUAUGGACAGACACACAGACAUGGACACACAGACAGACAGACAAAUGGACACACAGACACACGGGCACAUCGACACACGGACACACGGACGGACACAUGGACAGACACACGGAUACACAGUCAGACACACGGACACGGACACACAGACAGACACACGGACAGACACACAGACACACAUGGACACUCGGACAGACAGACACACAGACACAUACAUGGACACAUGGACAGACAGACACACAGACACACGGACACACAGACAGACACAUGGAUACAUGGACACACAGGCACACGGACACACAGACGGACACAUGGACACACGGACACACACACACUGACACACAGACAGAUACACGGACACACGGACACAUGGACAAACAGACAGACACACAGACAGACACACGGAUACACACAGACACACGGACACACACACAGACACACAGGGACAGACACACACACGGACAAACAGACACACGGAUACAAACGGACACAUGGACACAUGGACACAUGGACACACAGACACACGGACACACGGACAGACACACAGACAGACACAUGGAUACACACGGACACACUGACACACGGACACACGGACAGACACACAGACAGACACAUGGAUACACACGGACACACUGCCACACACACGGACACACGGACAGACACACAGACAGACACAUGGAUACACACNNNNNNNNNNNNNNNNN